CAAUAGCGUAUAUUAAAGUUGUUGCAGUUAAAAAGCUCGUAGUUGGAUUUGUGGCGAACGGUGUGUUCCGGGCACUUGUUGUCUGAGUAACCUGCUGUUGCCAUCCUUGGGUGGAACCUGUGUGGCAUUAGGUUGUCGUGCAGGGGAUGCCCAUCAUUUACUGUGAAAAAAUUAGAGUGUUCAAAGCAGGCUUAUGCCGUUGAAUAUAUUAGCAUGGAAUAAUGAGAUAGGACUUUUUUGCUAUUUUGUUGGUUUGCGCAAAGAGGUAAUGAUUAAUAGGGACAGUUGGGGGUAUUCGUAUUCCAUUGUCAGAGGUGAAAUUCUUGGAUUUUUGGAAGACGAACUACUGCGAAAGCAUUUACCAAGGAUGUUUUCAUUAA
rnacentral:rRNA from 1 species